AGGCCAGUGUGAGCAAUGAGAAUGUAUACUGGAUCAGACACAAGUGAUGACUGCAUGAAUCCUGAUGGACCCCGAUGUGAGAAAAUCUGCAGAAACAAAUGUGAAAAGCCCUUGCAGACACUGAAAUCCUGUCCCUGUCAAGGUACUGAAAUACAGGACUGCUCGUGUAUCUACUGGUUGAAAACCUUGAUCCUCUGGUAGUAGGAGUGUUCUAUUUCCCAAGCCUUUUUCUAUGGACCUAUAAAAGAG